UUUUAUGGAGAGUUUGAUCCUGGCUCAGGAUGAACGCUGGCGGCGUGCCUAAUACAUGCAAGUCGAGCGAACGGACGAGAAGCUUGCUUCUCUGAUGUUAGCGGCGGACGGGUGAGUAACACGUGGAUAACCUACCUAUAAGACUGGGAUAACUUCGGGAAACCGGAGCUAAUACCGGAUAAUAUU
rnacentral:rRNA from 1 species